rnacentral:rRNA from 1 species
AUUGAACGCUGACGGCAUGCUUUACACAUGCAAGUCGAACGGCAGCACGGACUUCGGUCUGGUGGCGAGUGGCGAACGGGUGAGUAAUACAUCGGAACGUGCCCAGUUGUGGGGGAUAACUACUCGAAAGAGUAGCUAAUACCGCAUGAGAACUGAGGUUGAAAGCAGGGGAUCGUAAGACCUUGCGCAACUGGAGCGGCCGAUGGCAGAUUAGGUAGUUGGUGGGAUAAAAGCUUACCAAGCCGACGACCUGUAGCUGGUCUGAGAGGACGACCAGCCACACUGGGACUGAGACACGGCCCAGACUCGUACGGGAGGCAGCAGUGGGGAAUUUUGGACAAUGGGCGAAAGCCUGAUCCAGCAAUGCCGCGUGCAGGAUGAAGGCCUUCGGGUUGUAAACUGCUUUUGUACGGAACGAAAAGCUUCGGGUUAAUACCCUGGAGUCAUGACGGUACCGUAAGAAUAAGCACCGGCUAACUACGUGCCAGCCGCCGCCGUAAGAC